rnacentral:rRNA from 1 species
AUUGAACGCUGGCGGAAUGCUUUACACAUGCAAGUCGAACGGUAGAGGGGGCAACCCCUCGAGAGUGGCGAACGGGUGAGUAACAUAUCGGAACGUGCCCAGUCGUGGGGGAUAACGUAGCGAAAGUUACGCUAAUACCGCAUACGAUCCAAGGAUGAAAGCGGGGGAUCGCAAGACCUCGCGCGAUUGGAGCGGCCGAUAUCAGAUUAGGUAGUUGGUGGGGUAAAGGCUCACCAAGCCAACGAUCUGUAGCUGGUCUGAGAGGACGACCAGCCACACUGGAACUGAGACACGGUCCAGACUCCUACGGGAGGCAGCAGUGGGGAAUUUUGGACAAUGGACGCAAGUCUGAUCCAGCCAUUCCGCGUGCAGGAUGAAGGCCCUCGGGUUGUAAACUGCUUUUGUACGGAACGAAAAGGUCUCUCUUAAUACGGGGGACUCAUGACGGUACCGUAAGAAUAAGCACCGGCUAACUACGUGCCAGCCGCCGCAGUAAGAC